UCUCCCAUGUGUUCAUGUUUGGUUUUAUUCCAUGUGUGUUUGUUUUGGUGUUCUAGUCCUGCCCCUUGUUUUUUUACUCCUCCCCUGAUCGUCUCCACCUGUUGUUCACCUGUCCCUCGUUAUCCCUGUUGUAUUUAAGCCCUGUGUUUGUACUUGGUCUUAGCUGGUCUUUGUAUUGGUCUUAGUUUGCUGUAUUAGUCUUUGUUGUUUGAUUGUUGGUGUUUCUCGUCAUGUCUGCAUCUGAAUCUCUCCGUGUUGGCUCUAGGACCUUGGACUGUUUUGACCACAACCCUGGAUUUGCCCUCAGUAAAAGUCGCUUACCUCCGCACAUGCGUCCGCUACCUCGCUCCUUGUUACAUUGCUUGUGUGGUGAAGCAUGUCUGGUGUUAAAUGCUGCACAAUAAAAUAUUAUAACCAGUUAUACGUUUCCUUUUUCUUUACUGCAGAAUGACGCCACUGAAACACGAAGAGCUUGAAUAGUGAAGGCAAUGAUUCUUUACCUCAACGGAGAUCCUGAAAACCUCAUAAGGGAGUAUCUUGAUGUUGGAGAAAACCAGGAGAUGGAGCAGACAAUUCUAGGAAUCUUUGUCAUAAAGAAGGACGGUGCAGAACCCACAGAUGAGCUGGAAGAUGUUGGAAUAAUCAUCGAAGGUGUGAAAGUGCUUUGUGACCUUGGUAACGUUGCAAAUGCAGUCGCUGUUUUAUUUGGCCUCAUUACGCAUUGGACUUGAGCUACCCACCCAACCAUAAGUACACAUUUGAGGUUCUACAAAAACUUGUGCUGGAACUGGACGGCAGACAUCCCUCAAGAAAGGCUCAAGUGCUAAAAAACAAACUGUUUGAAGGGACAACGUAGACGUGAAACUGCAAUUGAAUGUGGAGCCCUUUAUUUGAACGCUCUGAGGUGGAAGGAGGCUUUGAGCUUGGGAAAUAAACCAAUCAAUCUUUUUGGAUCCAUAUGUUGAACUGUCAUGGUUAUGCGUUGUAAGAUGCUACAGCUGACCAGGUUUGAAGUAAAUUGAUAAUUAUUUCACACGAAUAAAGUGACUGAGUUCAAUGUA